UGAGGGAAAGUUGCAAAGAACUUUGAAGAGAGAGUUCAAAAGGACGUGAAACCACUGGCAGGUAAACGGGUAGAACCACGAAGUAUGCCCUGAUGGCGAUUCAACCAUCACGUGUGGCUGGCUGUGUUGAAUUUGGGUUUUUUCGGAAGCUGAUUCAAUGCCGUCGGCAGCCAUGCGUAAUGGUGCAUUUCGUCCGUCAGGUGCUUAAGCCACGUCCGACUAGGUGGUUGGGACGGCCGUAGCGGGUGAUCUCAAGGAAGGUGGCCGUCAUAUGCUCUUACGAGUGUUUGAUGGUGUUAUAGCCUUGAAUCCGUGCCGUCACCUAACGUGCUGGUCGGUGAAAGUUUUCCAAUUGGAAUCAUUUCUAGUAAUGAUCAUGUGUGCCUAUGGGGUCAAGGUAUUGGCGUCAGAUUGCGCUUUUAGUUCCUUCGGGUUCAAAAAGACAGUUUGGCGGUUGGUGCCUCGGCUCUGUUUGCAUGAUGUGAUUGUGCAAACGGUGGUGCGAGUAGGUCGGUCUCUAC
rnacentral:rRNA from 1 species